GGAUGUUAGGGCGAUCUGGCUGUGACAUCUGUCACCCCAUUGAUCGCCAGGGUUGAUUCGGCUGAUCUGGCUGGCUAGGUAGGCAUCCCCUUCCUGCCUCACCGCUCCAUGUGCAUCCCAUUAAAACUGCAAGCUUGGUCGAAGAGGACGACCUUCCCCGCUAGAGGAGGACUGGUCUUCGGUCAAGGGUAUACAAGUAGCUGCACUCCCCUGCUAGAACCUCCAAACAAGCUCUCACUUAAAUAUCUUUUUAAUGUUCAUCUAAUGGCAUAGGAAAUGUGGGAAUGCUUUCUAAACUGCAUUGCUUAUUUUUGCAUCUGUCACAAGACUUUAA
rnacentral:snRNA from 1 species